rnacentral:lncRNA from 1 species
GCUAGAAUCCAAAAGCUUCAUCACUCUAAAAUGAGCAGUGUGUCAAGUGACAAUUUAUCACAGUCCACACUCCCACUUCAAUAAAUUUCACAUAGGUUGAGUCUGUUGACUCUGAACUGGCUGGACGAUUUGAUGACAACUAGAGAUUUCUCAAUUCUAGAACCUUUAAUAAUCAGAGAAAUGAUCAAAGAGCAGACAACCGGAAAGGAAAGGAGAAAAGUAAAACCACAAAUGAGUUCCAGUGUUCCUGACAAUCAAGAGUUGACCAUGCUUUAUUCAAGGACAUAAAUGCCCACUUCUCAUAUGCAGCUUUUUCUGUCUACUUUUAGAUGUCUGCGGAGUUUCUUUCUUUUCUUUUCUUUUCUUUUAAGUUUGCACUUAAGUUAUGUGACUGACAGGUGAUAACUUUAAGCUCAGGUCCACACACGUACCUGACUCCAGACUCUACAAAGGACUAGUCUCACCACAGUCUAAGAGAAUGUUAAGCACACCUAGGAGACCGGAGGCCUUUUCCAGAAGUUCAAUAUACCUUAGAGAAUAAAGACUGAGUCUGCUAUUUCACUGGUUUAGAGAACUCCCAGCUGUCUCCUGACAUCUAGCUCAUCCUCUUCAACAUGGGACACACUUGAGUAUCUCAAGACUCUACAGACUCAUGGUGCCUAGGGCAUUUGGAUGUGGGGGAAGGGAAUUAUAAUGAUUCAUGAGUGGCAGGUGAAUGCAAGGUUCUGUAUUUCAACAUAGAUAUGGGAAAACCCAUACAAGUGGCUCCAGGCACAUGCUUGGCCAAACCCUCCUUCCUCCAAGAUGUAAAACAUGUGUGUCAGCAAAGGCUGAGGAGUGGUGAGAAGACACACCCUUUUUGUUGAUAUGUUGGAAACAGACAUAACAGACUUUUCUACUAGCAGCAAUGCAAUGAUCCAGGACAAUCCAGAGGAAUUUAUGAGAAAGAACUCUAUCUACAUCCAGAGAAAGAACCGUGGGAACAGAAACGCAGAAGAAAAACAUAUCAUGUUUUUAGAUCAUGUGGUUCUAUGGGAUUAUGAUUGUGGUUUUGCCUAUAAAAGAUCACUCUAUUGCAAAUAUGAAUAGCAUAGAAAUAGGUUUUGAACAAUGAUACAUGUAUAACCCAGGGGAAUUGCCUGUCAGCUCUGGGAGGGGGAAAGAAAGAGGGGAGGGAAAGAACAUGAAUCAUGUAACCAUGGAAAAAUAUUCUAAAGAAAUAAAUUUUUAAAAACAAUUUUAAAAAAUUUGGAA